GACUCGUCACACUAUCAUUAACUGAAUCCAUAGGUUAAUGAGGCGAACCGGGGGAACUGAAACAUCUAAGUACCCCGAGGAAAAGAAAUCAACCGAGAUUCCCCCAGUAGCGGCGAGCGAACGGGGAGGAGCCCAGAGCCUGAAUCAGCAUGUGUGUUAGUGGAAGCGUCUGGAAAGGCGCGCGAUACAGGGUGACAGCCCCGUACACAAAAGCGCAUGUGCUGUGAGCUCGAUGAGUAGGGCGGGACACGUGGUAUCCUGUCUGAAUAUGGGGGGACCAUCCUCCAAGGCUAAAUACUCCUGACUGACCGAUAGUGAACCAGUACCGUGAGGGAAAGGCGAAAAGAACCCCGGCGAGGGGAGUGAAAAAGAACCUGAAACCGUGUACGUACAAGCAGUGGGAGCACAGGUUUACCUGUGUGACUGCGUACCUUUUGUAUAAUGGGUCAGCGACUUAUAUUCUGUAGCAAGGUUAACCGAAUAGGGGAGCCGGAGGGAAACCGAGUCUUAAUUGGGCGUUAAGUUGCAGGGUAUAGACCCGAAACCCGGUGAUCUAGCCAUGGGCAGGUUGAAGGUUGGGUAACACUAACUGGAGGACCGAACCGACUAAUGUUGAAAAAUUAGCGGAUGACCUGUGGCUGGGGGUGAAAGGCCAAUCAAACCGGGAGAUAGCUGGUUCUCCCCGAAAGCUAUUUAGGUAGCGCCUCGUGAAUUCAUCUCCGGGGGUAGAGCACUGUUUCGGCUAGGGGGCCAUCCCGGCUUACCAACCCGAUGCAAACUGCGAAUACCGGAGAAUGUUAUCACGGGAGACACACGGCGGGUGCUAACGUCCGUCGUGAAGAGGGAAACAACCCAGACCGCCAGCUAAGGUCCCAAAGUCAUGGUUAAGUGGGAAACGAUGUGGGAAGGCCCAGACAGCCAGGAUGUUGGCUUAGAAGCAGCCAUCAUUUAAAGAAAGCGUAAUAGCUCACUGGUCGAGUCGGCCUGCGCGGAAGAUGUAACGGGGCUAAACCAUGCACCGAAGCUGCGGCAGCGACGCUGAUGCGUUGUUGGGUAGGGGAGCGUUCUGUAAGCCUGCGAAGGUGGCCUGUGAGGGUUGCUGGAGGUAUCAGAAGUGCGAAUGCUGACAUAAGUAACGAUAAAGCGGGUGAAAAGCCCGCUCGCCGGAAGACCAAGGGUUCCUGUCCAACGUUAAUCGGGGCAGGGUGAGUCGACCCCUAAGGCGAGGCCGAAAGGCGUAGUCGAUGGGAAACGGGUUAAUAUUCCCGUACUUGGUGUUACUGCGAAGGGGGGACGGAGAAGGCUAUGUUGGCCGGGCGACGGUUGUCCCGGUUUAAGCGUGUAGGUGUGUGUUCCAGGUAAAUCCGGUUCACUUUAACACUGAGGCGUGAUGACGAGGCACUACGGUGCUGAAGCAACAAAUGCCCUGCUUCCAGGAAAAGCCUCUAAGCAUCAGGUAACAUCAAAUCGUACCCCAAACCGACACAGGUGGUCAGGUAGAGAAUACCAAGGCGCUUGAGAGAACUCGGGUGAAGGAACUAGGCAAAAUGGUGCCGUAACUUCGGGAGAAGGCACGCUGACACGUAGGUGAAGUGAUUUACUCAUGGAGCUGAAGUCAGUCGAAGAUACCAGCUGGCUGCAACUGUUUAUUAAAAACACAGCACUGUGCAAACACGAAAGUGGACGUAUACGGUGUGACGCCUGCCCGGUGCCGGAAGGUUAAUUGAUGGGGUCAGCGCAAGCGAAGCUCCUGAUCGAAGCCCCGGUAAACGGCGGCCGUAACUAUAACGGUCCUAAGGUAGCGAAAUUCCUUGUCGGGUAAGUUCCGACCUGCACGAAUGGCGUAAUGAUGGCCAGGCUGUCUCCACCCGAGACUCAGUGAAAUUGAACUCGCUGUGAAGAUGCAGUGUACCCGCGGCAAGACGGAAAGACCCCGUGAACCUUUACUAUAGCUUGACACUGAACAUUGAGCCUUGAUGUGUAGGAUAGGUGGGAGGCUUUGAAGUGUGGACGCCAGUCUGCAUGGAGCCGACCUUGAAAUACCACCCUUUAAUGUUU
rnacentral:rRNA from 1 species